UACGUAGGGUCCGAGCGUUGUCCGGAAUUACUGGGCGUAAAGAGCUCGUAGGUGGUUUGUCGCGUUGUUCGUGAAAACUCACAGCUCAACUGUGGGCGUGCGGGCGAUACGGGCAGACUUGAGUACUGCAGGGGAGACUGGAAUUCCUGGUGUAGCGGUGGAAUGCGCAGAUAUCUGGAGGAACACCGGUGGCGAAGGCGGCAUCCUGGACCGGCAUUGACGCUGAGGCGCGAAAGCCAGGGGAGCAAACGGG
rnacentral:rRNA from 1 species